UGGGAAACCAUCCUACUGACCAGUUAUAAGCACCACACUACUUGUCCUGGUUCUGAAUUAUGAAGUGGUUCCUUCCACCGAGAGGGAGAAAAGGAAAGUAAGAAAAGAUGGUGGUCAGUAUGGUUUCCUGCUGCAAGUUCUCCUCUUCUGAGGUUAACAGAGGUCUUGGAACUUUGUUCAGGCCCAAGUAGAACCAAGUUCCUUCUACACAUAAAGGCUGUCCUAGAGCUCCAGUGUGACUACAGAAUGUUUCCAAACACACAGCCCUGCAAGACCAGCAUUGCCCUUCCCACUUCAGAAAGAAGAAAAUCAAACCCAGAAAAGUGAAAAACCUUGCCAAGACUGCUCAGCUUAUGAAAAGGCAGAGGGAGAAUUCAAAUCCAGGCCUCCUGAACUCCAAAGCCCCCACUUUCCACCAUCGCAUGCCAGGAAGUAGGCAUCUGUUGACUCCAACAAAACAAGUUUUCCUACCCGUUUGACCCUAUGUUUUAUAGCAUUAAAGUGCAGUUUAACAAGUUCCAACUUGGGGAGUAGAUCCAAUUUCUAGCAAAUGCAGGCAAUACCAAGAUUAUAUUUCCCCAGUGGGGAUGCUAGUGAAACCAAGGGCAAGGAAAGGAAGCAGCAUGUCGAGAGCUGCCCCAGAAGCUUUAGAACCUCUUCCGCCUGCCCACCCCUGCCCCAAAUUUAUAAAGUAUCUGCUUAGCUAUUGCACUUUUGGCCUUAAGCUCCACUAAUUUUUUCUAAUAGGCCUUGAAGCCAUGGUAUAAUUCUUUCUCAGACCAAAUUUGUAAGAAAUGGGCAAAGUGGCAAAAAAUUACCUAAAACA